GUUUGUUGAGCAAAACUACAGGUUAUAGUGUUGAGAAAUAUGCACAGCACUUGAAAAUUUUGAGUGAUUAACAAGAGGAGAAAGAAUGUUUGAAACAACUUUAUAAAAAUGGCUGUACAUUGCUAGUAGUGAUAUCACACGAUAUCUGUUUAAUUUGCAGCGGCUUGGUGGUUAUACGUUUAAUCAAACCGCUGCCUUUGAAACUGCACAAUGAAAGAGAAACUUUGCAAUACGAGUAUCAUCUAUGACAUCGAGAUGGAACAUUACCCAAUGGUUGUGUGAUAAGGGUUUUGAGGCUGGGUCAGUGUUUAACACCAUACAAAUGGGCGAUAUCGAUAUCUGACCGAAAUUGUAUAAGCAUAUCGUGCGCGUGUGGAUGUUACUGAAAAUGAAAAAAUGUUACAGAAAAAAAAAAAAAAUUCUAAUAUUCACAAAUUUCAAAUUCAUCUUGAAGAUUCGCUACAAAUAAAAGAUUUGGUUGUUAUUUUGGCUGAGAUGGCAAAGGAUCGCGGUGGUGUUUGGAUAUGUGUAGGAAACAAGAAAAUUAAGAAAAGUAUUACCGACACCUUCAAGGAGCUCACAACUUCUCUAUUGGUACAUAACCAUUUUAACCCUGAGUACUAAAAUUAACCCACAUUUUAUGUUUUGACAAGCAAAGGUUGUCAUCAUUAGUUAAAUAUCUGAAAUAUUUGAUAUUUGCUUUUGUUCUCAGUAGGCUUAGAUGCUAACAGUACCAAUCACACAAACUUUGUUUUUAGAAA